rnacentral:rRNA from 1 species
UACAGAGGGUGCGAGCGUUGUUCGGAAUUAUUGGGCGUAAAGCGCUUGUAGGCGGCUUGUUAAGUUCCGUGUGAAAUCCCCAGGCUUAACCUGGGAAGUGCGCGGAAAACUGGCGAGCUUGAGUGCCGGAGAGGGUCGCGGAAUUCCCGGUGUAGAGGUGCGAAAUUCGUAGAUAUACGGGUCGAGGAACACCAGUGGCGGAAGGCGGCCGAACCUGGGACCGGAACACUGACGGCUGAG